AAUCAACGCUGGCGGCGUGCCUAACACAUGCAAGUCGAGCGAGAAAGUGGGGGCAACUCCAUGAGUACAGCGGCGACCGGGUGAGUAACACGUGACUAACCUACCCUUGAGUGGGGAAUAACUCCGGGAAACCGGAGCUAAUACCGCAUAACACCGCAAGGUCAAAGGAGCAAUUCGCUUAAGGAGGGGGUCGCGGUUGAUUAGCUAGUUGGUGGGGUAAUGGCCCACCAAGGCGAUGAUCAAUAGCCGGCCUGAGAGGGCGCACGGCCACACUGGAACUGAAACACGGUCCAGACUCCUACGGGAGGCAGCAGUGGGGAAUUUUGCGCAAUGGGGGAAACCCUGACGCAGCAACGCCGCGUGAAGGAUGAAGGUCUUUGGAUUGUAAACUUCUUUCGUCCGGGACGAUAAUGACGGUACCGGAAG
rnacentral:rRNA from 1 species